AAAGCGAGAAGGAAAACAAAACCUACCACCACGACAUACAAAGCCUCUCUAACCCCUCUCUCGAAUAGCCUCCCCGAAACGCCUCUCUCUCUCUCUCCGGCACGGCCACGUGAAACCUCGAUCUCUCUCAUGAAUCUCUCAGUCCUCUGGGAAAGCUCUCUGUCUCGUGAAACCUCUCUCAGCCCUCUCUCCCCAGUUUCCAAUCCCACACUUAAUUUCAACCUUCUAAAUCCCUAAAUCCCUAAAUCUUCCACCUCCGCGGGAAGCCGACUACGAUGGCCUCGAUUCUGAAGCCGUCCAAUGGGGUGAGAUGGGAAAACGACGACAACGAGCAAUAGCAGCAGCGACGUUUCGAUGACGUUUCCGGAGAAGCGCUGGGGAGAAAAUCGACACUAGGCGUCCUAGGCGGGUUGAGCUAGGCGCUGGACGCUAGGCGAAAUCCAAAUCGACUCUAGGUUUAGUCGUUUAGAUUUGUGCAGUUACUGCAAUCGCCGUCUCUCCUCUCUCUCUCCGGCGCGGCCGCGUGGCCUCCUUUACUUUACUCUCCAGCCUCUCCUCAACGGUGAUGCCGUGAUGGACUGACGGUGGUACUUGCCUAAUUGUCGAAGUCUCGAACUGGUCAUUGCUCUUGGUUGCUCUCUUCCACAUUCUGGGUUCAAUUCUUCAGUCGAAGUCUUGCUUGAUGGUGCAGGCGAUACUUCUUUCCCUGUUAUAAAAGAUCAAUCUCAAUUUUCUGUUGCACAUGCACGUUACAGUAAGCAGGCUCGCAAGAUCCGAAUUGCUAAAAGAGUAACUGCACUGGAAGAACUGCUUCCACAAUCUGUAGAGGAAACACCUGCUAUAGUCAAGUCCUACUAUGACAAAAGAAUAAUUGGAUGCCCUGGUGUUGAAGGAGGUAAACUCCUCCAGCUGCAUCUUUUUCUUCCUUGCUGAACUUACAUGCAUCAUUCCACAUUUGCAGCUAACUAUAAUUUUUGGAUAUAUAUGUCUGCUGAGGAUGAUCACGAUGCUAUGUGGUUUUGGCUGGACAA